CCUACGGGAGGCAGCAGUGGGGAAUAUUCGGCAAUGGAGGAAACUCUGACCCAGCAACGCCGCGUGAAGGAUGAAGGUUUUCCGAUUGGAAACUUCUGUCGCGAGGGAUGAAAAAUGACGGUACCUCGUAAGAAAGCCCCGGCAAACUACGUGCCAGCGGCCGCGGUAAUACGUAGGGGGCCAGCGUUGUCCGGCAGGACUGGGGGUAAAGGUCGUGUAGGCGGCGUAUUAAGUUAUGUGUGAAAGACCGCGGCUCAACCGCGGAAGUGAACAUAAAACUGGUAAGCUUGAGGGCAGGAGAGGUAAGUGGAAUUCCUGGUGUAGCGGUGGAAUGCGUAGAUAUCGGGAGGAACACCAGAGGCGAAGGCGACUUACUGGACUGUAACUGACGCUGAGGCGCGAAAGCGUGGGGAGCAAACAGGAUUAGAUACCCCUGUAGUC
rnacentral:rRNA from 1 species